GUUCCCAAAAGAGAGUGAGACAUUCUAGACCGAGAGGCUAGAAACUCAAGAGCCUUGACAGAAGUCUCCCAUUAGGGCUGUAGGGAUGGUGUAAUUGCCCAGGUCCUCAGGCUCUGAUGUAAAAUCUCUGGACCAUUAAACACACACCAGCCUGAAGCCUCAAGAAUGGUCUUUAGGAUGAGUUCUGUUGCAUUCUUCUUGAGGUCCAGCAGAGGGCGCAGGAGGCAGAUGGUGAUCCAGUGUAUGAACCCCUUUGCUGACCCCGGUGUGAGGUCAUGUGAGGAUCACAGGAGGCGAUCAUAAGGGAUUGUUGAGAGAAUGGAAGAGGGAAGCAAGAAACGAAUUUGGGGCAAGUUAAAAAGUUACCCAGAGGUGCUGCACUUUGGAUCUAAGACAUAAGAGCUUUCAGGAUGAAUAGCUCUGCUCUUUAGAGAGUUUCUGAGAGCUGUGUCAGACCUUUUCACAUAUCACAUGAGGAGAGCGGGGCAUUUGGGGUGGAAAGAGUCCUCCUGGGCUGGACAUGUCACUAGCAAAGAACUUCUGUGUGUUUCCUUAUUCUUACUUUCUCCUUUAGAAGUUGAACCUAUGCCACUGUUAACCUUCAGCAUCACAGGAAAACAGGGCUUGAUCAGAACUCAGCUGGAGGGUCCACUCCGGCCCUCCUAGCCAGGCCCCCGGAUCC
rnacentral:lncRNA from 1 species